AGCUGCAAGCUGAUUUGAAUCGGUUAACGGAGUGGACUUCGAACCACCAAGAUUCCUUUUAAGCUGAAACGCUUGCCUUAUGAAGAAAGGCUAAAGGUACUGAAGCUGCCCACACUCAAAGCUAGGAGAGUGAGAGGAGACCUCAUCGAGUGUUUUAAGAUUGUCACCCACUGUUACAACCUCCCUGACAUCCACAAAAUAAUCAAUAAGAGAACUGUCAGCCGCGAGACCCGAGGUCACAGCCUACGAAUUGUUCGCACUCCCACUACUACUAAA